AGUGAACGCUGGCGGUAGGCCUAACACAUGCAAGUCGAACGGCAGCACAGGAGAGCUUGCUCUCUGGGUGGCGAAUGGCGGACGGGUGAGGAAUACAUCGGAAUCUGCCCAGUCGUGGGGGAUAACGUAGGGAAACUUACGCUAAUACCGCAUACGACCUUCGGGUGAAAGAGGGGGAUCGCAAGACCUCUCGCGAUUGGAUGAGCCGAUGUCGGAUUAGCUAGUUGGCGGGGUAAUGGCCCACCAAGGCGACGAUCCGUAGCUGGUCUGAGAGGAUGAUCAGCCACACUGGAACUGAGACACGGUCCAGACUCCUACGGGAGGCAGCAGUGGGGAAUAUUGGACAAUGGGCGCAAGCCUGAUCCAGCCAUACCGCGUGGGUGAAGAAGGCCUUCGGGUUGUAAAGCCCUUUUGUUGGGAAAGAAAUCUUUCAGGCUAAUACCCUGGGAGGAUGACGGUACCCAAAGAAUAAGCACCGGCUAACUUCGUG
rnacentral:rRNA from 1 species